rnacentral:lncRNA from 1 species
CUUUAGAAGCUGUGCUGGGGUUCUACGAUGAUACACCAACCACUUGUGCUGCCACCUGUCAAAACUUUGGAUGGCCCUACUUUCAGAAGAUAAAGCCGGACUUAGCAGGGGCAUCAAGC